rnacentral:rRNA from 1 species
AUGAGAACAGCGGAGCUCGUGGGUGUAGAUAGAGGAUUGAGGUCGUCGUGGCCGGAGGCAGCGGGGCUACCCGUGGCCACGGCGGCGCUCCUGAUCAAUGGUGACAGGCCCGAUGUUGCGGUAGCGUUGAUCGUGGAAAGGGAUCCCAUCAGGCCGCCACCACCAGGGCGUUCCGACCCUAGGCGCGUCACCCUCGUCUCUGACACGGCCAGCGUUGUCGUCAAGACUCCUGUGGCCGGCUAG